AUUCCUUUUGCCUCUGAUGUACAACUCGAGUAAAACGUGAAAACAAAAAUUAUAAUUUUUAUAUUUGGAAUUUGUAGGUACAUAUAUGUAUGGGAAAAGGGUUGACUUCCCGAAUGAUCCUGUAAUCAUCAAGAUCUGAUGAUGGGAUUCUGAAAAAAUCCAGAAAAAAUAUUUUCAUAGCCUGUCUUGAAGUGAUUUGGGUGUUUCUUGUUAUUCUUUUUAUACUGUGUCGCUGCGCACCGGCCGGCCGGCACCCUACAUCAUUAACAGCCAUGCUGUUUUUAUGGGAUUUCUUUUGAUGAAGAUACGCUACAUAGUAGACGUCACGAACUAUGAAAAUGGCGAUACGUCCGUUACCUUCGCAAUCGUCGGCGCAACUGGGCAAACGAAUGUGUGGGAGACUACGCGAAGGUUCGCGGUUCGCGCGCUUUGAUGUCUCUUAAAAAACCGACACAGCUUGGAAAACCACGAAUGUAGCGAAAACUUUGUAAAAUAAUUUGCAAAUGUCGUCCUACACUUGCGGGUUGCGUAUUCGUGUGCAUGUGAGUGACCGGUGUUAGUCUAAUAACUUUCAAUGUCACCUUGGUACUUUUCGAAUAUGGAUAUACAAUAAUUUUAUAAAAUUAAACAAAAAGUAAUUUGAA